rnacentral:sRNA from 1 species
UCGAAAAGAGCGGUACGACAAGAAGCAGU